AUUGAACGCUGGCGGCAGGCCUAACACAUGCAAGUCGAACGAGUGGCGGACGGGUGAGUAAUGUCUGGGACACUGCCUGCUGGAGGGGGAUAACUACUGGAAACGGUAGCUAAUACCGCAUACCAUCAGAUGUGCCCAGAUGGGAUUAGCUUGUUGGUGGGUUAACGGAUCACCAAGGCGACGAUCCCUAGCUGGUCUGAGAGGAUGACCAGACACCCUGGAAGUGAGACACGGUCCAGACUCCUACGGGAUGCAGCGGUGGGGAAUAUUGCACAAUGGGCGCAAGCCUGAUGCAGCCAUGCGGCGUGUAUGAAGAAGGCCUUCGGGUUGUAAAGUACUUUCAGCGGGGAGGCGUUACCCGAAGAAGAAGCACCGGCUAACUCCGUGCCAGCAGGCGCGGUAAUAC
rnacentral:rRNA from 1 species